GAUGAACGCUGGCGGCGUGCCUAAUACAUGCAAGUCGAGCGAACAGACGAGGAGCUUGCUCCUCUGACGUUAGCGGCGGACGGGUGAGUAACACGUGGAUAACCUCCUUAAAAGACUGGGAUAACUUCGGAAAACCGGCGCUAAUCCCGUAUAAUCUCUUGAACCGCAGGGUUCAUUAGUGAAAGACGGUUUUGCUGUAUCUACUAGCGGGAUCCGCGCCGCAUUAGCUAGUUGGUAAGGUAACGGCUUACCAAGGCGACGAUGCGUAGCCGACCUGCGAGGGUGAUCGGCCACACGGGAACUGAGCCACGGUCAAUACUCCUACGGGAGGCAGCAGUAGGGAAUCUUCCGCAAUGGGCGAAAGCCUGACGGAGCAACGCCGCGUGAGUGAUGAAGGUCUUCGGAGCGUAAAACUGUGUUAUUAGUGAAGAACAAAUGUGUAAGUAACUAUGCACGUCUUGACGGUACCUAAUCAGAAAGCCACGGCUAACUACGUG
rnacentral:rRNA from 1 species